UCUUAAACUGCUGACCUCAGGUGAUCUGCCUGCCUCAGCCUCCCAAAGUGUUGGGAUUAUAGAUGUGAACCACUGGGCGUGGCUCAGAAUCUCCUUUAAAUCCAUAAAUCCAUGCUUUCACCCCUUACAGGACAGUGCAAUCAUUAUUUCCCUCCCAGCUUUUGUGCUUACUGUCCAUGUGUCAUACGUCUACCUGUAUUUUAAACCCUAAGAGAUAGUUUUAGGCAGUCCACUAUUUAUUUAGCUUUCCCGUUUCCAUUCCUUUUAGGAAUGUUCCUCUUUCCUUCCCACAUCAAAUGUCCACCUGGAGAAUUCCCUCCAGGAUAUAUUUUAGGCCUGGUUGGCUGGUGACACAUUUUUAAAAUUUUUUAUUUUGCCCCCAAACUUAAGUUUACCCUCACUUUUGAAGAAUCUUCACACUGGGUAUAAAAAUCUAGAUUGGUAAUUAUUUCCUUUCAGCAUUUUAAAGCAGCCACUCAACUGUUCCAGCUAUUUGUUUUAGAGAGUCAGCUGCCAGCUUUAUUGCUCCCCUGAAGGUAAAAGUGUCUCUUUCUCUUUGGGUUUCAGCACUUUGCCGUGAUGUGCCUAGGUGCAGGUUUUUUGUCACUUUUAAUUUAUCCUCUUUGGGGUUCAAAGAUAUUAACACUUGUGGGUGAUGUCCCAACAGUUGUGGAAAGUCUUCAACUGUGAUAUCAUCCAAACGGCACUCCACCACUUCGCUCCCCUCUUCUGGGACUCCCAUUGGCUGUGUGCUGCAGCUUUCUCUUGCACUAUGUCUCUCAGGCACUUUUCACCUCUCUGUAAUCUAAUGUUUUCUACUGGCUUGUCUUCCAACACAGUAAUCCUUUCAUCUCUAUGUCUAAUGCAAUAUUAACUACAUCUAGGCAACUCUUCAUUCCUUAUUGUGUUUUUCAGCUUCAGCAUGUUUACAGAUUCUUACCCUCUAGCGGCAUUCUCCACCUUCUCAUUCAUAUUGAAUGUAUAAAUCAUCAAGUCCAUGUCUGAAACCCUGGUAUUUGGAUCACGUGUGACACUAUUUCUGUUGUCUUCUUAUUCUCUUUCCUUUCAGUCAUUUGGUUCUUUUUUUUCCAGUGUGUCUCGUCAAUUUUUAUGAGAGUCAAACCGUUUAUCUGUAAAGUUAUAGGAGCUCUGAUCUUUUCAUUGAAAAAAAGUUUAGUUCUCCUCUGGUAGAAAGGUGAGACAGGGCAGAUCACCCUGAGGCAGUCAAGGCUGAGAUGACUCAAGCCACAUCCAGACUUGGUGAGGGCUGGGCCCUCUCCAGUUUGCCCUUCAGGGGUCUCGCCUGGAAAUCUCAGCAUUUUCUCAAUGGCAGGCGCUGAAUUCCUGUUUUGUCUCCCUUGCCCAAGGAUGUCUCAGCUUUCCAGGCUUUUGCUACUAUCUUUGGGUUUUUUAUUUUUUUUUCAGAUGGGGUUUCACCAUGUUGGUCAGGCUGGUCUUGAACUCCUGACCUCAGGUGAUCCGCCCGCCUUGGCCACCAAAGUGCUUGGAUUACAGGCGUGAGCCAUGACGCCCGGCCUAUCUUUGGGUUUCUAAGCCUCCUGCCUUGAGCACAAGCAGCCACCAGGAAUGGGUACCUGCUGCAGGGUAAGCUGCACACACAGUUCUCCGAGGCACCGGCGUCCUGCAUGGAACUCACCCUUCUCCGAGGCUCCGGCGUCCUGCAGGGAACUCACCCUUCUCCGAGGUUCCGGUGUCCUGCAGGGAACUCACCCCCUUCUCUGAGGCACCAGUGUCCUGCAGGGAACUCGCCCUUCUCCGAGGCUCCGGCAUCCUGGCCAACACGACAGCUCAUAUGUUGCUGCUGGUCUCCCAGCCCAGUGACACUACGUGGGCUCUGGUUGCCACCUUCUUUCAGGCCUUAGAGCAGGACACCAGCAAAUGGCCCAGUACGAAAAAAUGUUGCGAAUGCAGGACUCACCCUUAUCCAAGUCUCAACUCACUAGGAUUUUGUUUCCUCAAAUCCUGUCUUAAUUGCUUUCUGAUGUCUUCAAAAAGCUCUUUUUAAAAAUAGAUUUUAUAUGGCCUUGAUAGUUCUUGGGAAGGAUUUGGUUUAAUACCAGUUUCUGUCUCAUACUCAGAAGUGGAAGGGCUCUCUUGGCCUUAGUGCCAUUUUUUUGGGAAACCUCUGCGCCAUGAGAGCGAAGUGGAGGAAGAAAGGAAUGCGCAGGCUGAAGCGCAAAAGAAGAAAGAUGAGGCAGAGGUUCAAGUAAACCGCUAGCUUGUUGCACCAUGGAGGCCACAGGAGCAGAAACACGGAAUGCCAGAUGCUGGGGAUGCUGGUACAAGUUGUGGGACUGCAUGCUACUGUCUAGAGCUUGUCUCAAUGGAUCUAGAACUUCAUCGCCAUCUGAUCACCAAUCACCUGAGACCCACCUUGCUCAUAACCAAAACUGCCCAUGUUGGUCCUUUGCCCUGGACCUGUGACACUCUGGACUAUUUCUAUGUUUACCUGUGGCCGAAUGUAACAACCAUAAAAUAAAUCACCUCUUCUGCUGUCUUAGCUGAAGAAUU